rnacentral:rRNA from 1 species
GACGGAGGGUGCAAGCGUUGUUCGGAAUUACUGGGCGUAAAGGGCGCGUAGGCGGUCUGUUAAGUUCGGCGUGAAAGCCCCCGGCUCACCUGGGGAACUGCGCCGGAAACCGACAGACUCGAGUACCGGAGAGGAGGGUGGAAUUCCUGGUGUAGCGGUGAAAUGCGUAGAUAUCUGGAGGAACACCGGUGGCGAAGGCGGCAUCCUGGACCGAGAUUGACGCUGAGGCGCGAAAGCCAGGGGAGCAAACGGG